ensembl:lncRNA
UAGUUUUAAAAAAUUCAUUUAUGAGGAAAAACGGACGUUACGGAUGUGACUUCUUUCCGUUAUGGACGUGACCGUUCCGAAAUCAUCACUUGGCUGACGCUGGAAAACUUGAACAGAGACCUUUUUGUGUGUCUCUUUAUUUGAAACAACAAACAUCUGAGACAUCAGUAAGGUAUCCCUCCAUCCAAUCUCUACUGUAGAGUGCGUCCCCUGUCGGCUCAGAUGAUAAUCUGCUUCAUGGCGCAUGUGUCAGGGGGAAAGAAUGCUAAUCUGGAAGAGAUGCGGACUGCGAAGUCGGGGCUUUCUUGGCUGCCAGUUUCCACUGCGCACUACUUUCCAUGUGGAGCCGCUCCGGAGUGGCUGAAGCAGAAGGAAUUCCCGGCCGAGGGAGCCGAGGUGUUGACAGAUUCCAGAUCGCUCAUCAGGACACGCCUCCCACAUUAAAGGUCACCCAUCGAUUGAACAACCAUGCUGCUUGACCGUCCGUUUUUGAUUUAUAAUUAGAUGCUAAUAUUUCUGAUUGCGAUCCACUAAUAAACACUAAUAAAUAAUUUUUGGACUAAGGAUUAGGUUGUUGUUAGUACUCUCUAAUACAUUUGUCUAACAUUUGUUUAGUACAGUGUGCCAAACAAAUAAAGAGCAUUAUCACAAGCAGGCGUGUGAGCAAGGAUGCCAAAAUCUGAUUAUAUACUGUCUAUCUUGUUCCAAGAGGCCAUUUACCGCAGAUUCGGUUUGGCCAUAGGUAAUGAUCAGAAUUGUAGAAUGAGGCAUAAUUAAUUAUAGGUAAUGUGACUUUUGUGCUAUUUUUGCCUACAUUUUUAUCUCUUUACAUUACACUGUAUUUGAUAUAUUUUUUUUCUUAGCCUUUCACAUGUUUUUAACAAAACUCUGGCUACCAGACCUCCUGCUCUGAUCUUUCUUUUUAACCUUUGACCUUAACAGUUUCUUUUUUCUACAUUGUCUGGGUUGAGACAUGUUUUGUUUCAUAAAAGCAGUGCCUUUUUGAUAUUGUAAGUAGAAUUUGUGUAACAAUAUUAAAAUAUUCAUUUAUAUUUAAA